rnacentral:rRNA from 1 species
GGUGCAAGCGUUGUCCGGAAUUAUUGGGCGUAAAGAGCUCGUAGGCGGUUUGUCACGUCUGCUGUGAAAUCCCGAGGCUCAACCUCGGGCUUGCAGUGGGUACGGGCAGACUAGAGUGCGGUAGGGGAGAUUGGAAUUCCUGGUGUAGCGGUGGAAUGCGCAGAUAUCAGGAGGAACACCGAUGGCGAAGGCAGAUCUCUGGGCCGUAACUGACGCUGAGGAGCGAAAGCAUGGGGAGCAAACAGGCUUAGAUACCCUGGUAGUCCAUGCCGUAAACGUUGGGAACUAGAUGUGGGGACCAUUCCACGGUCUCCGUGUCGUAGCUAACGCAUUAAGUUCCCCGCCUGGGGAGUACGGCCGCAAGGCUAAAACUCAAAGGAAUUGACGGGGGCCCGCACAAGCGGCGGAGCAUGCGGAUUAAUUCGAUGCAACGCGAAGAACCUUACCAAGGCUUGACAUAUGCGAGAACGCACUGGAGACAGUGAACUCUUUGGACACUCGUAUACAGGUGGUGCAUGGUUGUCGUCAGCUCGUGUCGUGAGAUGUUGGGUUAAGUCCCGCAACGAGCGCAACCCUCGUCCUAUGUUGCCAGCACGUAAUGGUGGGAACUCAUGGGAUACUGCCGGGGUCAACUCGGAGGAAGGUGGGGAUGAGGUCAAAUCAUCAUGCCCCUUAUGUCUUGGGCUUCACGCAUGCUACAAUGGCCGGUACAAUGGGCUGCGAUACCGUAAGGUGGAGCGAAUCCCAAAAAGCCGGUCUCAGUUCGGAUUGAGGUCUGCAACUCGACCUCAUGAAGUCGGAGUCGCUAGUAAUCGUAGAUC